AAUCCAUAGGUUAAUGAGGCGAACCGGGGGAACUGAAACAUCUAAGUACCCCGAGGAAAAGAAAUCAACCGAGAUUCCCCCAGUAGCGGCGAGCGAACGGGGAGGAGCCCAGAGCCUGAAUCAGCAUGUGUGUUAGUGGAAGCGUCUGGAAAGGCGCGCGAUACAGGGUGACAGCCCCGUACACAAAAGCGCAUGUGCUGUGAGCUCGAUGAGUAGGGCGGGACACGUGGUAUCCUGUCUGAAUAUGGGGGGACCAUCCUCCAAGGCUAAAUACUCCUGACUGACCGAUAGUGAACCAGUACCGUGAGGGAAAGGCGAAAAGAACCCCGGCGAGGGGAGUGAAAAAGAACCUGAAACCGUGUACGUACAAGCAGUGGGAGCACCCUUUGGGGUGUGACUGCGUACCUUUUGUAUAAUGGGUCAGCGACUUAUAUUCUGUAGCAAGGUUAACCGUAUAGGGGAGCCGUAGGGAAACCGAGUCUUAACCGGGCGUUAAGUUGCAGGGUAUAGACCCGAAACCCGGUGAUCUAGCCAUGGGCAGGUUGAAGGUUGGGUAACACUAACUGGAGGACCGAACCGACUAAUGUUGAAAAAUUAGCGGAUGACCUGUGGCUGGGGGUGAAAGGCCAAUCAAACCGGGAGAUAGCUGGUUCUCCCCGAAAGCUAUUUAGGUAGCGCCUCGUGAAUUCAUCUCCGGGGGUAGAGCACUGUUUCGGCUAGGGGGCCAUCCCGGCUUACCAACCCGAUGCAAACUGCGAAUACCGGAGAAUGUUAUCACGGGAGACACACGGCGGGUGCUAACGUCCGUCGUGAAGAGGGAAACAACCCAGACCGCCAGCUAAGGUCCCAAAGUCAUGGUUAAGUGGGAAACGAUGUGGGAAGGCCCAGACAGCCAGGAUGUUGGCUUAGAAGCAGCCAUCAUUUAAAGAAAGCGUAAUAGCUCACUGGUCGAGUCGGCCUGCGCGGAAGAUGUAACGGGGCUAAACCAUGCACCGAAGCUGCGGCAGCGAACGUAUCACCCAAGACAACUUUACGGAGUUGACGAUUGACGGAGCGAAGCGACGUCAAAGCGUUCAUUAAAGUCGAGUUGGCUUAGGGAUACGUUCGUUGGGUAGGGGAGCGUUCUGUAAGCCUGUGAAGGUGUGUCGUGAGGCAUGCUGGAGGUAUCAGAAGUGCGAAUGCUGACAUAAGUAACGAUAAAGCGGGUGAAAAGCCCGCUCGCCGGAAGACCAAGGGUUCCUGUCCAACGUUAAUCGGGGCAGGGUGAGUCGACCCCUAAGGCGAGGCCGAAAGGCGUAGUCGAUGGGAAACGGGUUAAUAUUCCCGUACUUGGUGUUACUGCGAAGGGGGGACGGAGAAGGCUAUGUUGGCCGGGCGACGGUUGUCCCGGUUUAAGCGUGUAGGUGUGUGUUCCAGGUAAAUCCGGUUCACUUUAACACUGAGGCGUGACGACGAGGCACUACGGUGCUGAAGCAACAAAUGCCCUGCUUCCAGGAAAAGCCUCUAAGCAUCAGGUAACAUCAAAUCGUACCCCAAACCGACACAGGUGGUCAGGUAGAGAAUACCAAGGCGCUUGAGAGAACUCGGGUGAAGGAACUAGGCAAAAUGGUGCCGUAACUUCGGGAGAAGGCACGCUGACACGUAGGUGAAGUGAUUUACUCAUGGAGCUGAAGUCAGUCGAAGAUACCAGCUGGCUGCAACUGUUUAUUAAAAACACAGCACUGUGCAAACACGAAAGUGGACGUAUACGGUGUGACGCCUGCCCGGUGCCGGAAGGUUAAUUGAUGGGGUCAGCGCAAGCGAAGCUCCUGAUCGAAGCCCCGGUAAACGGCGGCCGUAACUAUAACGGUCCUAAGGUAGCGAAAUUCCUUGUCGGGUAAGUUCCGACCUGCACGAAUGGCGUAAUGAUGGCCAGGCUGUCUCCACCCGAGACUCAGUGAAAUUGAACUCGCUGUGAAGAUGCAGUGUACCCGCGGCAAGACGGAAAGACCCCGUGAACCUUUACUAUAGCUUGACACUGAACAUUGAGCCUUGAUGUGUAGGAUAGGUGGGAGGCUUUGAAGCGUGGACGCCAGUCUGCGUGGAGCCGACCUUGAAAUACCACCCUUUAAUGUUUGAUGUUCUAACGUGGACCCGUAAUCCGGGUUGCGGACAGUGUCUGGUGGGUAGUUUGACUGGGGCGGUCUCCUCCUAAAGAGUAACGGAGGAGCACGAAGGUUGGCUAAUCCUGGUCGGACAUCAGGAGGUUAGUGCAAUGGCAUAAGCCAGCUUGACUGCGAGCGUGACGGCGCGAGCAGGUGCGAAAGCAGGUCAUAGUGAUCCGGUGGUUCUGAAUGGAAGGGCCAUCGCUCAACGGAUAAAAGGUACUCCGGGGAUAACAGGCUGAUACCGCCCAAGAGUUCAUAUCGACGGCGGUGUUUGGCACCUCGAUGUCGGCUCAUCACAUCCUGGGGCUGAAGUAGGUCCCAAGGGUAUGGCUGUUCGCCAUUUAAAGUGGUACGCGAGCUGGGUUUAGAACGUCGUGAGACAGUUCGGUCCCUAUCUGCCGUGGGCGCUGGAGAACUGAGGGGGGCUGCUCCUAGUACGAGAGGACCGGAGUGGACGCAUCACUGGUGUUCGGGUUGUCAUGCCAAUGGCACUGCCCGGUAGCUAAAUGCGGAAGAGAUAAGUGCUGAAAGCAUCUAAGCACGAAACUUGCCCCGAG
rnacentral:rRNA from 1 species